UUAUAUUCCCUUUUCCUUUUACAAGAAUAUAUUAUUGUCUUCUGUCGACAAACUUAAAUUUAAUGGCAAGAAAAAGAGAGAAUCAUGCUCAAUACAUGAACUCUUUGUUAAAAAACCUAAUUUCAUUUGGUUUGGUUAGUCAAAUCAAUUGAUUCAAUCUUUGACAGAAAAAUAAGAAAAGACGUAACAAAUUAAUCCAAA
rnacentral:misc_RNA from 1 species